UAAGGAAUAUUGGUCAAUGGACGCAAGUCUGAACCAGCCAUGCCGCGUGAAGGAUGAAGGUCCUCUGGAUUGUAAACUUCUUUUAUCUGGGACGAAAACGGGAUUUUUAUCUCAAUUGACGGUACCAGAGGAAUAAGCACCGGCUAACUCCGUGCCAGCAGCCGCGGUAAUACGAAGGGUGCAAGCGUUACUCGGAAUUACUGGGCGUAAAGCGUGCGUAGGUGGUUGUUUAAGUCUGAUGUGAAAGCCCUGGGCUCAACCUGGGAAUGGCAUUGGAAACUGGGCAGCUAGAGUGCGGUAGAGGGUAGUGGAAUUCCCGGUGUAGCAGUGAAAUGCGUAGAGAUCGGGAGGAACAUCUGUGGCGAAGGCGACUGCCUGGACCAGCACUGACACUGAGGCACGAAAGCGUGGGGAGCAAACA
rnacentral:rRNA from 1 species